AUGAACGCUGGCGGCGUGCCUAAUACAUGCAAGUCGAGCGAACGGACGAGAAGCUUGCUUCUCUGAUGUUAGCGGCGGACGGGUGAGUAACACGUGGAUAACCUACCUAUAAGACUGGGAUAACUUCGGGAAACCGUAGCUAAUACCGGAUAAUAUUUUGAACCGCAUGGUUCAAAAGUGAAAGACGGUCUUGCUGUCACUUAUAGAUGGAUCCGCGCUGCAUUAGCUAGUUGGUAAGGUAACGGCUUACCAAGGCAACGAUGCAUAGCCGACCUGAGAGGGUGAUCGGCCACACUGGAACUGAGACACGGUCCAGACUCCUACGGGAGGCAGCAGUAGGGAAUCUUCCGCAAUGGGCGAAAGCCUGACGGAGCAACGCCGCGUGAGUGAUGAAGGUCUUCGGAUCGUAAAACUCUGUUAUUAGGGAAGAACAUAUGCGUAAGUAACUGUGCACAUCUUGACGGUACCUAAUCAGAAAGCCACGGCUAACUACGUG
rnacentral:rRNA from 1 species